ACAUGCCCGCAGGCUCUGCUGGACUGAGAGGACACCGGCUGCUACUGUUUUUAAUGAAGCUGUCAGCUGGGCCCCUGGGGCACAGGAGCUGGCUGGGCUGAAAAUCAUCAAUUUACACAGAUGAUGAGUCAGAGGCUUGGGUGGGGCAAGGGCCCGGGGGUCAGCAGGGCAGCACUGGAGGAGCUCUGUCGGGAGAUCACGACAUAAACAGGCUUGGCUCCACUCUGGUGGCCCUGACCCCACUCACCCAACCCCAUUGCAGAGGCUCCCCUUUGAUGUUCAGGUCAGUUCAGCAAACCUGGCCUCAGCCUCAGUUCCAUGCCAGGAACUGAGCUAGUGCUGGGAAUAGAGACAGACCGCAGUCCCUGCCCUCAAGGAGCUGGGUCUGAUGGUGGAGAUGAAUACUUACAUAGGCAACCCACCAUGAUAUGAUAUUCAUCAUGAGAGAAGCACAGGAGAGGGCUGGCUCCGGAAGUGGAUUGCUUGUGUUUAAAUCUUGGCUCAGCCUCUCCCUAGCUUUAGGACAGUGUGCACGUUAUUGAACCUCUCCUUGCCUCAGUUUUCGCAUCCGUGAAAUGGGAUGAACUGUAAUCUAUUUGUGACUAUUUUUGGUAGGUAACAAAUACCUCACACUCAGAGAUGUAAAGAAACAACCAUUUUACUAUGCCUGGACAGAUUCUGUGGUCAGGAAUUUAGGAAGGGCAGCGGGCGGUUUGUCCCUGCGCCACGAUGUGGGGGGGCCUUGGCUGGAGGACUCAAAUAUCUAAGGGGAAUGUGAAUGGCUGGAAUCAUCUGGAGACUUCUCACUUACGUGUGACUCCAAGGCUGGACUCAGCUGAGACUACCAACCAGAGCGCCCAUGAGUGGCCUCUCUGUGUGGCUUGGGCUUUUCCCUGUGUGGUGCACUGGUUCUGGGAGGCGCAUCCUGGGAGGAAAUGUCUGGAGGGUGAGCAUUUCGAGAGACCAUGGUGGAAACUGUGUGACUUUUUAUAGCCCAGCCUUAGGCACUACAUUACAUCACUUCCACUGCACUCCUGUUGGUCUAGGCGGUCACAAGCCUGCCCAGGUUUAUGCGGAAGGGAUGGUUUUAAAACUGUCACUCUGCCUCAUAGAUUUGGAUAAUUAAAUUAAAUGAGACAUAUGCAGGGUCCAGGGCAAUGCCUGGCUUAUAGUAUUAUUAUAGUUGUUAACAAAUGUAUUAUGGUAAGUUAUACUUGAAGGUUAAGUUUUAUAUAAUUAGUAAAGUAUAAAUAAAUGUUAAGUAUUAUACUUAGUGCUGUUGGAGGGAGGAAGUGGUAAGGAAAGAAUUCAGAGAACAGGUGCUGUCUGAGCAGGGUUUUGAAGGAUGAACAGGAGUUUGCUAUGAACCUUUUAAGGAACACAAUUUAGGUAGGGGAAACAGCUUGGGCGAAGUCAUAGGAGGCUUGAAACAAUGACGUGCUUGGGGAAACCAUGAGUAGUUUGGUGUCCUUGCAGCACUGAGGGCAAGGAAGAGCAUGGCUGAAGUGAAGUCGGAGGGUUGGUGAGGUAACAGUGUCUUGUGGGCCUGACUGAGAACUGAGAAGUCUGGGUUUUGUUCUGAGAGGAUCAGGGAACCAUGGAGGGUUUCAAGCAGGAGAGCGACACGGCCAGGUUUGUCAGAUCAUUGUGGCAGCAUUGUGGAGGAAGGGUUGGAGGGAGUAAAGUGAAGUCUAGGGGCCAAUGGGGAGGCCCUAACAGAACAAGGACCUGACCUAAGGGUGUGGCAGUGGGGACUGAGGGAGGGAGAUGAUGCAGAGCCAUCUAAGCCAUGAUGUUCACUGAGCAGGGGAUCACGGGAGGUGGGAGUGGUCCAGGGGAGGUCGAGGUCUGUGGCAGGAGCGCCAGGUUGGAUGACAUCGUUCUCAUUACUGAGCAGAGGCAGGGGUGUGUGGCCACCACUCACCCUCCUCCCGCCCGGGCCCUCAGCCUGCCGCCUCGCUGGAGGACACCUUCAACCACACCUUUGUCUCCUUCCAAACUGGGCCACACCGCUUGGGAUCCGAUGGGCCAUGGAGGCGAGGGAGAAACAGUAGAGGAGGACUCUCUCUUGACAGCAAGGUCAAUGUCUUUUGCCUCCAGUGCCCCAAGUUUGUGAAACCUUUCCCAGGAGCAGAGGGGCCUCUUUCCUCGGAGACUUACCCUGGGCUGAGGGCCAAGUGUUGCUCAUCUUGGCUGGGGGUGACUUGGGCCACAGAAUGGCAGAAUCCUAGAACGUUGGAAUGGGGAAACCCUGAAGGGAAGCCCCGAGUCUGAUACUAGACAAGACUGGGUUUGAGCCCUGGCUGUGCCUCUUCCUGGCUGUGCGGCCAGGGCGCUGUGCAGAAUGGAGGCCACACUCCCACCUUCCACACAGACUGUGGGGUGGGGGGUUAAAUGGGACCACAGACAGGAAUAUGAUUGAGAAGUGCUUGUUACAGCUGAGAUGCCAUCCGAGAAGAGAAAUCUGGGGCUCAGAGAGGAAAGGAAUUGCUCAGUGCCACCCGGUAAAUGAGCAGCGAAGCCAGAGCUCCAAGCUGAGCCACCUGAUUCCCUUCCAAGGCUCCUGUCCCCUCCCCAAGCAUGCAAGGGGGACAGGACUAUUCACCUGUAUUUCACACUCCUCCCCAGUGUGGUCAUCUGGGAGAAUUAACUGCCUGCCUUCUGGAGCCAUCUCUCACUCGUGUCUGAAGCCCCAGUUAUACAGAGAUGGGAGAGCAUAGAACAGAGAUUUCUGCCAGUAUCCCUACCUCUUGGCAGGAGGACAGAAGUGGACUCUUUCUCAGAGAGAGUACUUCGUCUUCAACCACUAGAUCUGGGUUCUAGUUCUGGCUGUGACACUUUCUAGUGGAGCGACCCUGGGCGAUCACUUCUUCCUGGCCCCCAGGGUUUCCUCCUCUCUGCAGAUAAAUGUUUUGUAAGUCUAUGAUUUGUGAGUGACCAUGCUGCAUGUGACAGCAUAAACAUGGGAUCUGGGCCAGGAGAGCAACGAUCAGCAGAGUAUAGCACAGAGGUCAAGAUGCGGGUGCUGGAGCCAGCAUCCCGGAGCCGGCCGCUCUGUGACCCUGCACCCAGCUCUGUGACCCUUCCCACCCCCACACCUUAAUUUCCUCACCAACAAAUGGAGAUCCAGCGAGAUAACACAUCCCAAGUGCUAUCAGAGUAUGGAGCCAUGACAAACCCUCAAAGAAUAUCAGUCAUUAGAUAUGCUGAGAGCCUAUGGCAUGCAUGCAUUUUAUUUACCGAGACUCCUCAGCUGGUCAAAUCAUCCUGACAACCCUGAGAGGUGGUGGGGCAGAGGCGUGACUAUGUGCUCCCCAGACCCAGGUUCCUUUUCCUCCUGGACACACAGUGGACUACACUUCCCAGCCUCCCUGCAGCUGGGGCCAUGUGACCUAGAUCUGGCCAGUGAAAAAUGAGCAGAUGCAACACACGCUAUGGUGUGCAGGCGGGCCCCUCAGACCUCCUGUGUGAGGCUUUUGCACUCUUUCCUGCUUCCUCUGCUGGCUAGCUGCAGAGGAUCCCGCAAAGGAUCUAGAGCAAUGAUUCUCGUCCAGGGGCAAUUUUGCCUAUGGGGCGACAUUUGGCAAUGUCUAGAGACAUUUUUGGUUGUCACAACUUGGGGGAGUGCUACUGGUGUCUAGUGGGUAGACUAGACAGGAAUGCUGCUAAACAUCCUACCAUGCACAAGAUGACCCCCACAAUAGAGAAUUAUCCAGCAGAUGUCAACAGUACUGAGACUGAGAAACCUUGGUCUAGAAGUGGAGUUAAAGCCCUGGGAUGGUCUAAAGAGAAGCUCCUGGGUCCUUGAGUGACUGUAUGGAGCUCAGCCCUGCUGCCACCUCCAUAUUAGACUGUAAGAAGAAGAAAUACGGUGUUAUAAUGUUAAACUACGCAGAUUUUUAGGAUUUUUUGUUGGAACAGUUGGCCUACCUUGAUGAAUGCAGGUUGCUAUUAUUAUGUCCAUUUAGUUGAUGGUAACUGAGAUAUAAAGUUACCGGACUUGUAAGUGACAAAUGGUGGGUUUGAACCAUGUUUGUCUGGCUCUAAAACCUGUGCUUGCCUUGGUAUAGUGGUAUAGUGCAGCCUCUUUCCAUCUCCUGAUUCUGUCCCCUCUGUCUGCAUCCCCUGGAGGAUUUCACGUAGAGCAGCUGCAGAACCAAUCACCAAGUUGCUGCCAGGGUUUCCCAGUAUGGGGCCUCCUGCUAUUGGGUGGAGUAUACUCCCCAGAAUAAGCUGGUUGUGUCCUUCAUGGUCCCAUCCCAGGCAGCUCAUGUUGGUUAUCUGUGACACCCAGCCCCUUAAAAAGGGUUGGCACAUACUCCCUGCAUGUGCCCACUGCCCCACUACAAGGAGCCCCCUUAUCCACUCUGUCUUUCUCCCAAGCCAGCCCCCAACCAGCUCCUGGUUUGAAUUUCCAGGCAGGUGUCUGGAGGCGUCUUGGCUCCCAGUUAAUUUCCUGAUUUGGCUUCCUGAAAGGCAGGAGGGCUUGGAGGUGGCUGCCUGGAGCGAUGAGGAGAUAGUGAUGUCUGCUCUGGUUUCCUGCCUGUCUGUGGGGACACCCUGCCCAUCAGCCUACAGAGGGCCCCUCCCUGGCAGUCCCCGCCAUACAGAGGGAUUUGAGGGUGGGGGCUGGGAAGCUGAGCUGCAGUGGGCUGCAGAGCCUCAUCAGGGAAAAACAUGGAUGUUCAGGCUUUGAGUGUGUGUGUGCCUGCGAAUAUGUAUAGAUGCCCAAGAGUUGUAAGAGCCUCCAACAUGUCAUUUGGCUCAAUCCUCUGUGUCCACACAAGUUAGCACCUUUCCAGAGGAUUUUGAUCUUUUGAAAAAGUACCAAGAGUAAAAGACCUCUUUUACUUAAGUAACUUUCAAGGGUGAACUCAAGCCUGAACCAGUUCUUUGACACGCAGGAAGUCCUUCCUUGAAUCUGCUCCAAGUUUCUCUUGCUGGUCUGAGUCCAUUGUCUCUAUUUUGUGGAACUAGUGACCUUUUUUUUUUUUUUUUUUUGCCUCCCUGAUGUAAACCCUUCAAGUACCUGUAAACAGAAAUUGAGUGCUUCCCUCAAAAUACUUCCAGAUUCUCUUUUGCAGACCAAGCAAUUCCACCUACCCACCUUUCUUCAUGGAGGAGGAUGACGACUGGGGACGUGUACAGUAGGAAAAAUGUGCUUGCAAGGUGCCUCUUCUCUCCUUUGUGGAGGUUUCUCUCUCUUCCUUUAAAAGUCCUCACGGCUGCAGAAAAAACACAGUUUUGGGGGGCCUAGAAAGCGUGGGCUUCAAUCUCAGCCAGGUUAUUUAACGGCUCUGAGCAGGGCUCAGUUCCGGCACUUUGCACAGAGCAAGCCACGGAGCAGAUGCUCGAUCGAUGUUUAUUUCUCCCCGCUGCCUUCCUUCAGGUGCCUGUGCGCUCCCUACCCUUCCUACUUUGUCUCUGGCUGCUGCUGUCUGAAAAAGGACCAGAGGCGCUCAUGACCCACACCAAACCUGGUUAGCUGGGUGGGACCGGCACGUGCCAUGUGCGUAGGAACAGGCAGCAGGCCCCAGCCGCAGGGGAGGGAGAAGGCUUUCCUCGUUGCCUCUGCUCUUGGAGUCCACUCUCCACCCCUCUGGCUGCUGAGUCAUUCUCUCAGCACCUUCUCUCUGCAUCUGUGUUAUUGUGUCGGCCCCAAUGCCUCGUCUGCUGAAGCACUGACCAUUUUCCCAGGUGUGACAUAGGGUCCCUUCAUUCCCGUACAGCGGGAUGCCCCAGGUUUCUUAGAAUCCUAGAGUGCUGGAGCCAUUUUCCAGAUGGGGAAACAGAGGCCCAGAAUGGGGUCCCCAUCUACCUGAGGCCUCCAAUCAAGUGGGGGUGAGACCCCAGGUAUCUUGACUGCAGGCCCAGUUUUAUCUCUGUUAGAAGUGGAGCUUUGCUGUGAAUCUAACUGCCUAGGAGGGUCAGACCUUUCAAAUGCCGGGAUGCAAAGGUCCCUGAACACAGCACGGGCACGAGGGGUCUGUCUAAAGAGUUGUCUCUCUCUUUUGCAGGAGGAGGAGGAAGAAGAUCCGGGACGCCCUGAGCAUAGGAGGCUUCAGGGGGAUCACAGCUCAUUUUCCUGAAGGCUGGUGUAGCAUUAAGUUCUUAUGUCUGCCAGCAGCCUUUCAGAUUGGCUACUGCCACUCCUGUCUGUGUGUUACAUAAAUCCUCACCGCGAACUGCAGAGACAGGAAGCAAUUAGCCUCCUGUGACAAUUCCCACUGGUGCUGGCUUCUUGCAGAAGGCAUGAGGGUGGUGCAGUGAAAAGGACACGGACCAGGAGCUGGGAGCCUGGACUGAAAAGCUGUGUGAUCUGAGGCCCUCACUUCUCCUCUCCGGAUUUAUAAGGUUGGGGAAGAGUGGAGAGGGGUCCCCAGCAAAGGAUUUAGCAUGAGUAAAAUCAAGGAGGGAUAGAAGAACCGUCCUGAGCUGGAGGAGGUUUGAGAAGGAGAAUACUGAGAGAUCAGCAAACUGAGGCUCAGAAAGUGGAAAUAGGAAGCCCAAGGUCACACAGCAAAUGCUAAGAGGACCAGAACCUUAUGGAUCCCAGUCCAGUGCUCUUUCCUGUACACCACACCACUGGCUACCCUUUCAGACAGAGCAUAGAGCAGACAUGUAACCAACUUAGUCACAACAUGUCAAGGGAGGAGAAAGAAGCCCAUAUUGUGGUGUCCUUUC